rnacentral:lncRNA from 1 species
GGCAGCCCCCGUGGGUCCCCUUCCACACUGUGGGAGCUUUGUUCUUUCGCUCUUUGCAAUAAGUCUUGCUGCUGCUCAUUCUUGGGGUCCACACUGCCUUUACAAGCUGUAACACUCACCGUGAAGGUCUACAGCUUCACUCCUGAAGCCAGCGAGACCACGAACCCACCGGGAGGAAUGAACAACUCCAGACGCGCUGCCUUAAGAGCUGUAACACUGACCGCGAGGCUUUGCAGCUUCACUCUUGAGCCUCUGCAGCUUCACUCUUGAGCCAGCAAGACCACAAACCCGCCAGAAGGAACAAACUCUGAACACAUCCGAACAUCAGAAGGAACAAAUUCUGGACACGCUGCCUUAAAGAACUGGGUUUCAUUCUUGAAGUCAGUGAGGCCAAAAACCCACCAAUUUUGAACACAGUAGGAGCACACUGGAAGGCCAUUGACAGCGGAAGGACAUGGAGUUUGGCCGGGCUCCAGGGAAAAACCAUCUCUCUUUUGGCUCCCCCAUCUGAUGAGAGCUACUUCCACUUAAUAAAACCUUGCACUUAUUCUCCAUGCCCACGUGUGAUCCGAUUCUUCUCGUAAACCAAGGCAAGAUCCCUGGGAUACAGAAAGUCCUCUGUCUUUGUGAUAAGGCAGGGGUCUAAUGGAGCUAACACAAGCUGCCUAUGGGUGGCUGAACUAAGAGCACCCUGUAACACACGCCCACUGGGGCUUCAGUUGUAAACAUUCACUCCUAGACACUGCCUUAAGGUUGGAGCUCCACAAUCUGCUAGUUUGUAUGCUCCCCCUCUGCUCCCGUACAGGUUUGAGCGGCGGGGAACUGAAGCAGCGAGCCACACGCCCCGUCGCAUGCCUUGUGAGAGGGACAAGGGAACUUUUCCG